rnacentral:lncRNA from 1 species
GCCGCUUCUGCCGUUUCUGCAGAUUAUGGUCGCCAUUACAAGAUGACGCUGGCUCCGCUGUGGUCUGUGACAAACAACUUCUUAUCUGGGAAAGUUGGCACAUGAUUUUUCACCACCCUGUGAGAAAGCUCCACGCGGCAGCUUUGCAUUGGGGCUUGGGAUGCUUUAUUAAGGCUGGGAGGGGCAUCCGAGAGAGAGAAGAAGAAAUAUCAAGGGCCUGAAUAAACUGCUGAAAGAAGAUUCCUGAGUUGCGUCUUCCUUGCGGGCAAGGGGUCGCGACAAGUGGUGCCGAGACCCGGGAACCAGAACUUUCAGCAGUCAGGGGUGGUGCACCGGUUAGUCCCAGGUAAGUGGGAUCCGCGAUCAAAGCGGGGUUAGUCCCAGGUAAGUGGGAUCCGCGACCAAAGCGGGGCAGCUCCUCUGUAAAGAAAGAGAGAGCAUUACAUUUUAUUGCAGCUGCACUGUGUACUUUCGCUUUUGUUUUCUGUGUUUCUUUUGUUGUGUCAUUUCGCUUUUGUUUUUUGUGCUUCUUUUGUUGUUGUGACGACAGGGACGCUCCCCUGUAAAAGGAAGAGAGCGGGGAAUUCAUAGAACGGAACGCUCCCCUGUAAAAGGAAGAGAGCGGGGACUUUUGUACUUUCACUUUCUUUAUAGCUCUAAAAACAUUAUGGGCGUUGCUUCUUCAAGCCCAAUUUUGUUGGCCCUAGAUGGGUUGUUACAUUCAAAAGGACUUAAGAUAAAGCAGAGUACUUUGCAGAUGUUUUUAAGAGAAGCUGAUAUAGCGGCUCCUUGGUUUGCUUUUUCAGGGAGUCUUACGGUUCCCAGCUGGGACAAAUUAGGGAAAGAUCUAGAUUUCGCUCAUGAGCAAGGUACCUUGCAGGGUGGCAUUAUACCACUUUGGAAGUUAGUUAGAGGAUGUAUAACAGAUGGUAAAUGCCAGGAAGCUGUGAGUGAGGGUCAAGCUAUUCUUGAGCAACUGCAUGAGGAAAAAUCUGAAGGAUCAUGUAGUGAAGUGGCAGAGAGUAUUAAAAGUAACAGUAGUGAGAAGGCAAAAGAGCCUGAAGAUAAAAAUAGGAGAAGGCUCUACCCAGACUUGACCGAAUUAAAAACGCCUGAGAACACAAGCGACUCAGAGAGUUCUGAGGACCUUGAUAUAUUGUUACAACAACUACAUAAGAUAAAAAUGAAAAAGAAGAAAAAGGAGACACAGGGCACGCAGGCCUACUGUAAGAAGGGGAAGGGAGUUAACAUCGGUCAACAAAACUCUGAGGAGGAGGAGGUAGAAUAUCUAGAAGAAGAUAUGGUGCCGAUUGCCCCACCUCCGUAUGUGGGGGGGAGCCAAGGUUCCGGGAGAUCUUUUCAUGCACAAGUUUGGAGGACAGUUAAUACAGAUAUGGGACUUGCAUACCCUGUAUUUCAGGACAAUAACAGGGGAAGAUAUCAUGAGCCUUUAGACUUUAAGAUAAUUAAAACCUUGGCAGAAUCUGUCCGCACUUAUGGCAUAGAUGCCGCUUUCACUCUCACUCAGGUGGAGGGACUUACUAGAUUUUGCAUGACUCCCUCAGAUUGGGCUAGUCUAGUCCGCGCUUGUGUUUCCCCAGGGAAAUAUUAGGAGUCCAAAGUUGGCUGUUUAAUGUUUCUGGCAGUACCCAAGACUCGGAGCGAGGUAGGAGGCUUAAAAUUUCUGCAAAUAAUUCACAAUUAUCUAAUGCUACAUUACCCUCCGCAGCAGUCUGUCUCCAAUCUCCGUUCCUGUUUCUUUUGGCUAAUGUUACAUUACAGGGGAUGCUUAAUUGUUCUAAUAUUACCUGUUAUUUGUCUGAGUGUUGGAAUGGAUCCUGGCCUAUGGCAGUGGUUAUGAAAAUUCCAACUUUUGUCCCGAUCCCGGUUACUGCAGAUCCAGAGUCAUUUCCUAUUGUUGAACUGAUUAGAGCCCGUAGAGAUUUUGGAAUUACGGCAGCUAUAGUGACAGCUGUGGCGGUAUCUGCUGCUGCAGCAGUUACAGCUGGAGUAGCCAUGGCCAGCCAGGUACAAACUGCUGCCACUAUUAAUCAGGUUAUUCAACAAACAUCCACCAUACUUGAAUCUCAAAGUAGAAUUAAUCAAUAUAUUUUAUCUGGGAUUCUGGCUGCUAAUCAAAGGAUAGAUCUACUUCAAGCUCAAGUUGAGGAAUUGUCUGACCUAGUACAUUUGGGUUGUAUUGAUCAACGUGCACAUUUAUGUAUAACCUCUGUCAGAUUUUAUGAUUCCAGAAAUGCCUCCCGCAUCAUCGGGGAGUAUCUAUCCGAAACCUGGUCCAUGGAAACAGAAAACUUGAUCCAGUCUCAACUAACUCAGAUUGCUGUUUUGAACAGUACCCGUGUCGAUCCCGUGACUUUGGGUCAAU